rnacentral:rRNA from 1 species
AACGGCGGACGGGUGAGUAACACGUGGGUAACCUGCCCAUAAGACUGGGAUAACUCCGGGAAACCGGGGCUAAUACCGGAUAACAUUUUGAACUGCAUGGUUCGAAAUUGAAAGGCGGCUUCGGCUGUCACUUAUGGAUGGACCCGCGUCGCAUUAUCUAGUUGGUGAGGUAACGGCUCACCAAGGCAACAAUGCAUAGCCGACCUGAGAGGGUGAUCGGCCACACUGGGACUGAGACACGGGCCAGACUCCUACAGGAGGCAGCAGUAGGGAAUCUUCCGCAAUGGACGAAAGUCUGACGGAGCAACGCCGCGUGAGUGAUGAAGGCUUUCGGGUCGUAAAACUCUGUUGUUAGGGAAGAACAAGUGCUAUUUGAAUAAGCUGGCACCUUGACGGUACCUAACCAGAAAGCCACGGCUAACUACGUGCCAACAGCCGCGGUAAUACGUAG